AUACGGAGGAUGCAAGCGUUAUCCGGAUUUAUUGGGUUUAAAGGUUCGUAGGCGGAAAAUUAAGUCAGUGGUGAAAGCCUGCAGCUCAACUGCAGAACUGCCAUUGAUACUGAUUUUCUUGAAUUUAUCUGAAGUGGGCGGAAUGCGUCAUGUAGCGGUGAAAUGCGCAGAUAUGACGCAGAACACCAAUUGCGAAGGCAGCUCACUAAUGUAAUAUUGACGCUGAGGAACGAAAGCAUGGGGAGCGAACAGAAUUAGAUACCCUAGUAGUCC
rnacentral:rRNA from 1 species